rnacentral:rRNA from 1 species
GACGUAGGGGGCCAGCGUUGCUCGGAAUUACUGGGCGUAAAGGGUCCGUAGGCGGUGCGGUAAGUCGGGAGGGAAAUCUCUGGGCUUAACUCAGAGGCUGCUUCCGAAACUGCCGUGCUAGAGUGCGAGAGAGGCAAGUGGAAUUGCGGGUGUAGCGGUGAAAUGCGUAGAUAUCCGCAGGAACAUCCGAGGCGAAAGCGGCUUGCUGGAUCGCAACUGACGCUGAGGGACGAAAGCUAGGGGAGCAAACAGG